CAGCGCCUCCCAUUUAGUGAUGGCCGAUCUUGGUUACUGCAGCCUACCUGUCCACCAUGUGAUAAAACAGGUGAAGCUGAUGAGCACGUGGUCAGUGUCAUGUCGGUGAACGGAAGUCCUGAAGAAAACACGUCAGUUAUAAUCUGAACAACUGGAAGGGAACAAGAACAUUGGAAUGAAAACCACUGGGAGCUUGUUUUCCAGCGUUGAGGCCUUCAGCCAGUUGUCCAGCAGGAGUGGAGCUGUCUUCAGUGGGAAGCUGCAGUGAAUGGAUGUGGACCACAGACUGCAGAUAAGAUGUGGACCAGCUCUUCAGCUCCAUGGGACAUCAGCAGGACUGGACCUGAGCCUGAAAUGAGGGAUGUGCAGGAGUCCGGAUCAGCUCCGUCUCAAGCCCCUCGCUGCCCCUGGUGUUUCGCCGGAUUACGUCAUCAGAGGAGUCGCAUGAUGCUCGACUGUUUGCUUCAGUUUUCCCAGCUUCUAGGAUAGAAGAAUCGAAAAAAAGAGGAGUACCAGAGUGGGGAGA